GUGCUCGCUUCGGCAGCACAUAUACUAAAAUUGGAAUGAUACAGAGAAGAUUAGCAUGGCCCCUGCGCAAGGAUGACACAAUUAAAUGAUGGAAUCUGAGUGGCU